rnacentral:lncRNA from 1 species
AAACCAUCUCCAUUGCCCGAUUCGUGGAAACUCAAAGAAAUCUUUGCCACUGGUGUUGUCCUCGGAACCUACCAAGCGAUCAUGACUGUUGUGUUCUUCUACCUUGCAGCUGACACUGAUUUCUUCUCUGUAUGUUAUUCUCCCCCUAAACUUAAACAAAAAAUGAAAACAUAACAUGAAAUAAACUAACAAAUUUUAUCAUAUAUGUGCAGGAAAACUUCCAUGUUAGAUCAAUCAGAAACUCUCCAACUGAGCUUACAGCUGCACUAUACCUUCAAGUGAGCAUUAUUAGUCAAGCUCUCAUCUUUGUGACCAGAUCAAGAAGUUGGUCAUUCGUUGAACGCCCUGGCCUUAUGCUUGUCGGUGCUUUCUUUGCCGCUCAAUUGGUAAGGAUCUUGAAAAAUGAAUUACUUGACUUGGUUUUCAAUGUGUUGUUCUAUCGGAAACAACCUCUCUACCUUCUCGAAGGUAGGGGUAAGGUCUACGUACACCCCCCGACUCUACAUUAUGGGAUUACAGUGGGUUUGUUGUUGUUGGUUUUCAAUAUGUGGCUACCUGAAAUUCAUAAUUUUCUCCCAUUUUUUCCAGGUUGCUACCGUGCUCGCUGUAUAUGCAAACUGGGAAUUUGCCAGGAUCAAGGGAGUUGGUUGGGGAUGGGCAGCAGUUAUCUGGAUCUACACAAUUAUUACCUAUAUCCCUCUUGAUAUUCUUAAAUUCAUCAUCCGUUUCGCUUUAAGUGGAAGGGCAUGGGAUUCAAUGAUCCAGAACAAGGUAAAAGCAAGCACACAAAUUGCCAUAACAUGAACAUUUUACAUUGAAUUCUAUUCUUGACUAAUUAGUAAUAUCAUUUCUUGAAUAUAUCAGACUGCCUUCACAACCAAGAAAGACUAUGGAAGGGGUGAAAGGGAAGCACAAUGGGCUUUAGCUCAACGUACACUUCACGGUCUGCAGACACCUGAAAACACUGGCCUAUUCAAUGACAAGAACUACAGGGAACUAUCCGAGAUUGCUGAGCAGGCUAAACGUCGUGCUGAAGUUGCAAGGUAUAUGAACAAUAUCAUAGAUGUUAUAGUAAAAAGGGCAGCCUAUUGCACAAAGCGUUCUGCAUUCACGCAACGUCCAGGGAAGGGCCUCACCCCAAGAGGGUGAUGUAGGCAGCCUAAUGCAAGUAUUAGUGGCUGAUUCCAAGGCUUGAACCCUUGACCUAUAGGUCACACGGAGACAACUUGACCGUUGCUCCAAGGGCAGCCCAGUGCACAAAGCAUCCCACAUUCACGAAGGGUCCAGGGAAGAGCCGCACCCCCAAAAGGGUGUGAUGUAGGCAGCCUAAUGCAAGCAUUAGUGGCUGAUUACAUGGCUCGAACCCGUGAUCUAUAGGUCACACGGAGACAACUUGACCGUUGCUCCAAGGACAGCCUGGUGCACAAAGCAUCCCACAUUCACGAAGGGCCACACCCAAAGAGGUGUGAUGUAGGCAGCCUAAUACAAGUAGUAGUGGCUGAUUCCACGGCUCGAACCAGUGACAUAUACAGAGACAAUUGAUUGUCGCUCCAAGAACCGAUAGAUGUUAAAUUACUAUGAUAAAUUGUUUUGAGUGCCACAAUCUAUACUUACAAGAACUAUGUUAUUGCAGGUUGAGAGAGCUACACACUCUAAAGGGACAUGUUGAAUCAGUGGUCAAGCUAAAGGGACUAGAUAUUGAAACCAUCCAACAACACUAUACUGUCUAAAGAAGCUGCAAAUCAAAUCAACUUUCAUUUUUUCCCAUAUAAGGAAGGACAUUUUUCAGCUGGCACUAUGUUGGAUGAGGAUAUUGUUUGGUUGAAGAACAAGGGCUAGCUGUGUAUUUAAAAAAAAUCUUGAGUAUUGAUAGUUAUCUAUAGAAGAAAAUAAAAAAUAAAAAAUUGUAAGUAGUAGUUACUUUUUAUCUUUAUUGUUAUUUAUCCUAUCUAUACAAUGUAUGUUAUCUAUACAAUGUAUGUUAUUUUAUUUGCUUAGAACAAA